GACGAACGCUGGCGGCGUGCUUAACACAUGCAAGUCGAACGGAAAGGCCCUGCUUUUGUGGGGUGCUCGAGUGGCGAACGGGUGAGUAACACGUGAGUAACCUGCCCUUGACUUUGGGAUAACUUCAGGAAACUGGGGCUAAUACCGGAUAGGAGCUCCUGCUGCAUGGUGGGGGUUGGAAAGUUUCGGCGGUUGGGGAUGGACUCGCGGCUUAUCAGCUUGUUGGUGGGGUAGUGGCUUACCAAGGCUUUGACGGGUAGCCGGCCUGAGAGGGUGACCGGCCACAUUGGGACUGAGAUACGGCCCAGACUCCUACGGGAGGCAGCAGUGGGGAAUAUUGCACAAUGGGCGGAAGCCUGAUGCAGCAACGCCGCGUGCGGGAUGACGGCCUUCGGGUUGUAAACCGCUUUCGCCUGUGACGAAGCGUGAGUGACGGUAAUGGGUAAAGAAGCACCGGCUAACUACGUGCCAGCAGCCGCGGUGAUACGUAGGGUGCGAGCGUUGUCCGGAUUUAUUGGGCGUAAAGGGCUCGUAGGUGGUUGAUCGCGUCGGAAGUGUAAUCUUGGGGCUUAACCCUGAGCGUGCUUUCGAUACGGGUUGACUUGAGGAAGGUAGGGGAGAAUGGAAUUCCUGGUGGAGCGGUGGAAUGCGCAGAUAUCAGGAGGAACACCAGUGGCGAAGGCGGUUCUCUGGGCCUUUCCUGACGCUGAGGAGCGAAAGCGUGGGGAGCGAACAGGCUUAGAUACCCUGGUAGUCCACGCUGUAAACGGUGGGUACUAGGUGUGGGGUCCAUUCCACGGGUUCCGUGCCGUAGCUAACGCUUUAAGUACCCCGCCUGGGGAGUACGGCCGCAAGGCUAAAACUCAAAGGAAUUGACGGGGCCCCGCACAAGCGGCGGAGCAUGCGGAUUAAUUCGAUGCAACGCGUAGAACCUUACCUGGGUUUGACAUGGAUCGGGAGCGCUCAGAGAUGGGUGUGCCUCUUUUGGGGUCGGUUCACAGGUGGUGCAUGGCUGUCGUCAGCUCGUGUCGUGAGAUGUUGGGUUAAGUCCCGCAACGAGCGCAACCCUUGUUCACUGUUGCCAGCACGUUAUGGUGGGGACUCAGUGGAGACCGCCGGGGUCAACUCGGAGGAAGGUGGGGAUGACGUCAAGUCAUCAUGCCCCUUAUGUCCAGGGCUUCACGCAUGCUACAAUGGCUGGUACAGAGAGUGGCGAGCCUGUGAGGGUGAGCGAAUCUCGGAAAGCCGGUCUCAGUUCGGAUUGGGGUCUGCAACUCGACCUCAUGAAGUCGGAGUCGCUAAUAAUCACAGAUCAGCAACGCUGCGGUGAAUACGUUCCCGGGGCU
rnacentral:rRNA from 1 species